UACGUAGGGUGCGAGCGUUGUCCGGAAUUACUGGGCGUAAAGAGCUCGUAGGCGGUUUGUCGCGUCCGCUGUGAAAAUCCAGGGCUUAACCCUGGACCUGCAGUGGGUACGGGCAGACUAGAGUGCGGUAGGGGAGAUCGGAAUUCCUGGUGUAGCGGUGAAAUGCGCAGAUAUCAGGAGGAACACCGGUGGCGAAGGCGGAUCUCUGGGCCGUAACUGACGCUGAGGAGCGAAAGCAUGGGGAGCGAACAGG
rnacentral:rRNA from 1 species